UGCUUCGUGGCCUAACCGAUAGGGCGUUGGCUUUUGUAAGCCGAAGAUUGCGGGUUCGAAUCCCGUUCGAGGUAA